rnacentral:rRNA from 1 species
AGUGAACGCUGGCGGCAGGCCUAACACAUGCAAGUCGAACGGCAGCACAGCAGUAGCAAUACUGUGGGUGGCGAGUGGCGGACGGGUGAGGAAUACAUCGGAAUCUGCCUAGUCGUGGGGGAUAACGUAGGGAAACUUACGCUAAUACCGCAUACGACCUACGGGUGAAAGCGGGGGAUCGCAAGACCUCGCGCGAUUAGAUGAGCCGAUGUCCGAUUAGCUAGUUGGCGGGGUAAUGGCCCACCAAGGCGACGAUCGGUAGCUGGUCUGAGAGGAUGAUCAGCCACGCUGGAACUGAGACACGGUCCAGACUCCUACGGGAGGCAGCAGUGGGGAAUAUUGGACAAUGGGCGCAAGCCUGAUCCAGCCAUGCCGCGUGGGUGAAGAAGGCCUCGGUUGUAAG